CGAGGCGGACGGGUGGCCGCUCCGCUCCGUCGUGGAGCGGGGAGGAAAGUCCGGGCUCCGCAGAGCAGCGCGCUGGGUAACACCCAGUCGGGGUGACCCGAAGGAAAGUGCCACAGAAAUGACACCGCCGUUUCCGGAGACGGAACCGGCAAGGGUGAAAUGGUGGGGUAAGAGCCCACCGGCGGCCGGGUGACCGGCCGGCCAGGCAAACCCCGCGCGGAGCAAGACCAAAUAGGAGGGCGUUCCCUGAAAGGGGCCCCGCCGGCCUUCGGGCGCGGCGGGUGACGAGGCGGCUCGCCCAGCCCUCGGGUAGCGGUCGCUGGAGGCGCCGGGCAACCGGCGUCCGAGAUAGAUGGCCACCCCUUCCGCAAGGAGGGACAGAACCCGGCUUACAGUCCGCUCUCGACCC
rnacentral:RNase_P_RNA from 1 species